rnacentral:rRNA from 1 species
UCGGGUUGUAAAGCACUUUCAGCGGGGAGGAAGGCGAUAAGGUUAAUAACCUUGUCGAUUGACGUUACCCGCAGAAGAAGCACCGGCUAACUCCGUGCCAGCAGCCGCGGUAAUACGGAGGGUGCAAGCGUUAAUCGGAAUUACUGGGCGUAAAGCGCACGCAGGCGGUCUGUCAAGUCGGAUGUGAAAUCCCCGGGCUCAACCUGGGAACUGCAUUCGAAACUGGCAGGCUAGAGUCUUGUAGAGGGGGGUAGAAUUCCAGGUGUAGCGGUGAAAUGCGUAGAGAUCUGGAGGAAUACCGGUGGCGAAGGCGGCCCC